rnacentral:rRNA from 1 species
AUUGAACGCUGGCGUCAGGCUUAACACAUGCAAGUCGAGCGAGCGGCGGCCGGGUGAGUAAUGUCUGUGAAACUGCCUGAUGGAGGGGGAUAAAUACUGGCAACGGUAGCUAAUACCGCAUACCAUCAGAUGUUCCCAGAUGGGAUUAGCUAGUCGGUGGGGUAAUGGAUCACCUAGGCGACGAUCCCUAGCUGGUCUGAGCGGAUUACCAACCAAACUGGAACUGAGACACGGUCCAGAUUCCUACGGGAGGCAGCAGAGGGGAAACUUGCACAAUGGGCGCAAGCCUGAUGCAGCCAUGCCGCGUGUGUGAAGAAGGCCUUCGGGUUGUAAAGCACUUUCAGCGAGGAGGCGUUACUCGCAGAAGAAGCACCGGCUAACUCCGUGCCAGCAGCCGCGGUAAUUC